AGAGAUUCAGGAGGACAGAGCAGUCAUGGCCUGGGCAGCUCAGCUCUGAACUCGGCCCUUUGAAGAUUCUGAACUGGAUGGAAGGAGCAGGAAGAAAGUUCCAAAAUGGCCACCAUGCCAGAGGGGGAAGGCCCGAAUGGGCCAAAGGUAUGGGCAUCAAGGGAGGCUGGCAGGAGGAAAAAAACUUCCGUGGACACCCCUCCACACACACCACCUACAACAACUCCCCUGGAGGAGACUUUUCUUUGCUGAAGGAGUUCAACUUACACAGAGAAACAACCACGAUCAAGCUUACAAACAGGACCACGCAAACCACAGCCAUGAUGUUAGUAACGAAGCGCCUAUCAAGGAAACUUGUUUUAGGUCCCCGAGGCCCUGGAAGCAGAAGAGGACAGAAAACUUGGCUUUAGCCAUCCGUUGCCAGCAUCCCAUGAGAGCCCCAGAGAAAAGCUUUCCACACACACUCUGGCCACCUCUCUGGGUCAGCAGUAGCCAGCGGCCUGCCGGGGAUCUGGACUCUGCCGACUGCUCUAGAGUUGGGUCCCUGCUAGCCUCAGAUUGGGUGAAAUCAGCACUGCCAGAUGGGGAAGGCACAAACCUGCCACACGCCCUGCCUGGCCUCCAAAGGACAGGGAUGUAUCCUUUUACAGGGCCGUUGCCGGGCCCAGAAUACCAUUUGUGCCAGGAUGGGACAGACCACCGUUUGAUCCCUGUGGCAUUCAACAAGCCAUGUUUCGAUGUGCUCAAGCCGGUGGCAGAGGGGAGAAGACUUGGACUCUGGCCUCCUUAGGAGCUGAGUCGACAAAGCCAUUGCUCCUCUUUGGGGCGCCUCUGCUGAGCCCAAGGGGUUCUUCUACAGGAGUUCAGUUUGCUUUGCUCCACCCUCCCCACCAUGAUUCAUUCCAGUCUGGCACAGGACUUCCUUUGGCAGCUACAGAAGCCUGCAGCCAAUGAAGGAAGUUGGCUAGGGAAGAAGGUAGUGUUGGGUGAGCAUGAGGCUGCCCAGUAGGGUUGCGUGUUUUGUAUUUUUUCUGUUUUGAUUUGUACCAAAUCCGAAUCAACCCCAUUUUGUAUUUUGUCCAAAAUUAAGCCUUCCGAAUCAC